AUUGAACGCUGGCGGCAGGCCUAACACAUGCAAGUCGAGCGAGCGGCGGACGGGUGAGGAAUGUCUGGGAAACUGCCUGAUGGAGGGGGAUAACUACGGGAAACGGUAGCUAAUACCGCAUACCAUCAGAUGGGCCCAGAUGGGAUUAGCUCGUAGGUGGGGUAACGGCUCACCUAGGCGGCGAUCCCUAACUGGUCGGAGAGGAUGACCAGCCCCACUGUAACUGAGACACUGUCCAGUCUCCUACGUGUGGCAGCAGUGGGGAUUAUUGCACAAGGGUCGCAAGCCUGAUGCGUCCCUGCCGGGUGUGUGAAGAAGGCCUUCGGGUUGUAAAGCACUUUCAGCGGGGAGGCGUUACCCGCAGAAGAAGCACCGGCUAACUCCGUGCCAGCAGCCGCGGUAAUAC
rnacentral:rRNA from 1 species